UACGUAGGGUGCAAGCGUUGUCCGGAAUUAUUGGGCGUAAAGAGCUCGUAGGCGGUCUGUCACGUCUGCUGUGAAAACUCGGGGCUUAACCCCGGGCCUGCAGUGGGUACGGGCAGACUAGAGUUCGGCAGGGGAGACUGGAAUUCCUGGUGUAGCGGUGAAAUGCGUAGAUAUCUGGAGGAACACCGGUGGCGAAGGCGGCAUCCUGGACCGACACUGACACUGAGGAGCGAAAGCCAGGGGAGCAAACGGG
rnacentral:rRNA from 1 species